rnacentral:rRNA from 1 species
GAUGAACGCUAGCGGCAGGCUUAAUACAUGCAAGUCGAGGGGUAACAGGUCUGUAGCAAUACAGAUGCUGACGACCGGCAAACGGGUGCGGAACACGUACAGAACCUUCCUUCGAGUGGGAGAUAGCCCAGGGAAACUUGGAGUAAUAUCCCAUAGGAUCAUAGAGUGGCAUCACUUAGUGAUUAAAGAUUUAUCGCUUGAAGCUGGCUGUGCGGCUGAUUAGGUAGUUGGUGUAGGUAACGGCUCACCAAGCCUUCGAUCAGUAACCGGUGUGAGAGCACGACCAGGCACACGGGCACUGAGACACGGGCCCGACUCCUACGGGGGGCAGCAGUAAGGAAUAUUGGGCAAUGGAGGCAACUCUGACCCAGCCAUGCCGCGUGGAGGAUGAAGGUCCUCUGGAUUGUAAACUUCUUUUAUUUGGGAAGAAAUGCCGAUUUUCUAAUUGGUUUGACGGUACCAGAUGAAUAAGCACCGGCUAACUCCGUGCCAGCCGCCGCUGUAAGAC